rfam:Nicotiana sylvestris Nsyl_contig21756, whole genome shotgun sequence.
AUUCGUUGGAUGAGUGUGAGGCUUUGGAUUGAUUUCAUUCAAUCCGAGCUCCACAUUCAUCAGGGGCUCGU